rnacentral:rRNA from 1 species
CAGUAGCCGCGGUAAUACGUAGGGGGCAAGCGUUGUCCGGAAUUAUUGGGCGUAAAGCGCGCGCAGGCGGUCAUUUAAGUCUGGUGUUUAAUCCCGGGGCUCAACCCCGGAUCGCACUGGAAACUGGGUGACUUGAGUGCAGAAGAGGAGAGUGGAAUUCCACGUGUAGCGGUGAAAUGCGUAGAUAUGUGGAGGAACACCAGUGGCGAAGGCGACUCUCUGGGCUGUAACUGACGCUGAGGCGCGAAAGCGUGGGGAGCAAACAGGAUUAGAUACCCCUGUAGUCCCUGUCUCUUAUACC